GACGAACGCUGGCGGCGUGCCUAAUACAUGCAAGUAGAACGCAGGUGCGAACGGGUGAGUAACGCGUAGGUAAAUGCCUGGUAGCGGGGGAUAACAAUUGGAAACGAUAGUUAAUACCGCAUACUACCAGAUGGACCUGCGUUGUAUUAGGUAGUUGGUGGGGUAACGGCUCACCAAGGCAACGAUGCAUACCCGACCGGGGAGGGGGGUUGGCCACCAUGGGACUGCGUAAAGGCCCCGACUCCUUCGGGAGGCAGCAGGAGGGAAUCUUCGGCAAUGGGGGGAACCCUGACCGAGGAACGCCGCGUGAGUGAAGAAGGUUUUCGGAUCGUAAAGCUCUGGGGUUAAGGAAGCGGUACUUAACCAGAAAGGGACGGCUAACUACGUGCCAGCAGCCGCGGUAAUUC
rnacentral:rRNA from 1 species